UACGUAGGGGGCAAGCGUUGUCCGGAUUUAUUGGGCGUAAAGAGCGUGUAGGCGGCCAGAUAGGUCUGUUGUGAAAACUGGAGGCUUAACCUUCAGACGUCGAUGGAAACCAUCUGGCUAGAGUCCGGAAGAGGAGAAUGGAAUUCCUGGUGUAGCGGUGAAAUGCGCAGAUAUCAGGAAGAACACCCGUGGCGAAGGCGGUUCUCUGGGACGGUACUGACGCUGAGACGCGAAAGCGUGGGGAGCGAACAGG
rnacentral:rRNA from 1 species